rnacentral:lncRNA from 1 species
GUGAGAUUGAGCCCCCGAGGCCGCCGCGCUGUGCAGGCGUCCUUCCCGCAGGUUCCGGGUCCCCAGCCCAGGACAGGCGUGACCGAGUUGCCGGGCCUAGACUCCCGAGGCUUCCUCUUUGGCCCCUCCCUGGCCCAGGAGCUUGGACUGGGCUGCGUGCUCAUCCGAAAGCGGGGGAAGCUGCCAGGCCCCACUCUGUGGGCCUCCUAUUCCCUGGAGUACGGGAAGGCUGAGCUGGAGAUUCAGAAAGACGCCCUGGAGCCAGGACAGAGGGUGGUCGUCGUGGAUGAUCUGCUGGCCACUGGUGUAUGAGUGACCACAGGGCCUCCCAGCCCAACAUCUCCAGCUGGAUCCCAGGGAAAUAUCAGCCUUGGGCAACUGCAGUGACCAGGGGCACCGGCUGCCCACAGGGAACACAUUCCUUUGCUGGGGUUCAGCGCCUCUCCUGGGGCUGGAAGUGCCAAAGCCUGGGGCAAAGCUGUGUUUCAGCCACACUGAACCCAAUUACACACAGCGGGAGAACGCAGUAAACAGCUUUCCCACAA